UUCCGUUGGUGAACCUGCGGAAGGAUCAUUACCGAGUGAGGGCCCUCUGGGUCCAACCUCCCACCCGUGUUUAUUUUACCUUGUUGCUUCGGCGGGCCCGCCUUAACUGGCCGCCGGGGGGCUUACGCCCCCGGGCCCGCGCCCGCCGAAGACACCCUCGAACUCUGUUUGAAGAUUGAAGUCUGAGUGAAAAUAUAAAUUAUUUAAAACUUUCAACAACGGAUCUUUUGGUUCCGGCAUCGAUGAAGAACGCAGCGAAAUGCGAUACGUAAUGUGAAUUGCAAAUUCAGUGAAUCAUCGAGUCUUUGAACGCACAUUGCGCCCCCUGGUAUUCCGGGGGGCAUGCCUGUCCGAGCGUCAUUGCUGCCCUCAAGCCCGGCUUGUGUGUUGGGCCCCGUCCCCCGAUCUCCGGGGGACGGGCCCGAAAGGCAGCGGCGGCACCGCGUCCGGUCCUCGAGCGUAUGGGGCUUUGUCACCCGCUCUGUAGGCCCGGCCGGCGCUUGCCGAUCAACCCAAAUUUUAUCCAGGUGACCUCGGAUCAGUAGGAUGCCAUUCC
rnacentral:rRNA from 1 species